rnacentral:RNase_P_RNA from 1 species
GCGGAUGGCUGGAUGGCCGCGCGGGUGCUUCCCGUGAGGAAAGUCCGGACUCCACAAGGCAACGGUGCCGGAUAACACCCGGCCGGGGCAACCCGAGGGAAAGCGCCGCAGAGAACAGACCGCCUGGCGACAGGCAAGGGUGAAACGGUGGUGAAAGAGACCACCGCACCGUCGGCAACGGCGGUGGCACGGCAAGCCCCACCGGGAGCAAUGCCGAAUAGGGGCCGCAAGCGGCGAUGCCGCACUCCUGCCUUGGGAAAGUGGCUCGGGUAGGCAGCUUAACCGUCGCGGUAACGCGGCGGGCAGAUGAAUGGUCAUCCAGGAAGGCUUCGCCUUCUGGACAAAAUCCGGCUUACAGGCCUUCCGCGCAC